GAGCCCCCCCCAGCUCCUACGGGCCUGCAAAGUAGCUGAACUAUAGGCCGACGGUUUAUUUACUGCCCGCUCCAUAUCUCCAGGGUAGGCUAGAGCUCUGUGGAAAGACCCGACUUGGGCAGGAUAUAGUAGUCGGCUGGCUACGUGCUGUAGCAUGGGACAGCUGGACGUCUUGGUCAUAUACACGCUGUAUCAUCUAACAAAACCUAUGGAAGACAAGCGUAAAACCAUCCCAGGGUUCUUUUCUCCACGUUCAACAUCUGAGACAGUGACCACUAUUGCACAAUACAGCUUACCUAGUUCCAAGCCUGCUGAACCUUCAACCUCCAUUGGUGAUGCGUCUCUAAUGGCCCCUAGACCUCUUUCUUGUGGUAACAAAACAUUGAAAGCUGAGAUUCUGUGGGCGCUAAAGUGUGUGGACUCUCAUUUUUCAUUCCAUUCAUGUGAACACAUUUCGGAUAUUUUUAAACAGAUGUUCCCGGGUGACCCUGUUGCACAAGCCUUCAGCUGUGGGGAGACCAAAUGUCGUUAUAUCUGUCAGUUUGGCAUAGCUCCAUACUUUCAUGGGUUGUUGAAAGAAUCCGCUAGGGCUGAUGGUGAUUGUCCUUUUGUUUGAUGAAUCUCUCAACAAAGUAACAAAAAAUAAGCAGAUGGAUAUCCUCCUCCUACUAUGGCAUCAUGACCAGGUGCGAUCCAGAUACUUCACAUCAAAAUUCAUUGGCCAUGCCUCUGCACAGGACAUGCUUGAUCAUUUCAAUUCGGCAAUAGAGGAUCUCAAUCAUACUGGCAUCCUCCAAGUAUCCAUGGAUGGGCCAAGUGUCAAUUGGUCAUUUUUUGACAAAUUCAAUAAUCAGAUAAAAGAAUACCAGGACUCGGAAUUGAUAAACCUUGGGAGUUGUGGACUUCAUGUUUUGCACGGUGCCUUUCAGGCAGGAUGUCGUGAAACAGGUUGGAAAGUGGAUGAUCUUUUAUCCAGUAUGUACCAUCUGUUCAAAGACUGCCCUGCUCGAAGGGAGGACUAUGCAAAGGUCAGAGAGCUCAGAUUUCCCUCUGAAAUUUUGCAAGCACAGGUGGCUUGAAAAUGGCCCUGUUUCCAGGCGUGCCAUCAGUAUUUGGGAGAGUAUGAAAACCUAUGUCACAGCCGUUGAUAAAAAGAAGGUUUCACGUCCUGCUAACAAAUCUUAUUCAGUUGUUAGUGGUGCCACGAAGGACCCAUUGAUAAUUGCCAAACUUUCAUUUUUUAACUCUGUCAGUAGAGAAGUUGAGCCUUUUCUUAAGCAAUAUCAAACGGACAAAGUCAUGAUCCCUUUUCUUGUUAGCGAUUUGGAGAAGCUGAUGAGAAAUUUGAUGGAAAGGUUUAUCGAAGGUGGAGUGCUUGAAGCUGCUCAGUCUGUUAAUGAACUACUUAAAAUUGAUUUGUCGAAAAACACCCUGAACAACAAAGACAUUCAGAUUGGGUAUAAAGCAGCAAGUGAGCUAAAGAAACUUAAAUCAUCUAAAGCCAUCAGUGGGCUUCAGGCAUUUGAAUUUAGAGACCAGUGUAAGAAGCUUUUGGUUAAGUUGGUCGAAAAAGUCAAUGAGAGGUCCCCGUUGAAAUAUUCCAUUGCUCGCAACUUGUCACGCUUAGACCCCAGACUCAUAGUCAAACAGGGUGAAAGUUCCAAAUUGAAAAUGAGAAGAUUAUUGGAGUUACUGGUGAAAUUGAAUCGUGUUCAUGAAGACGAUGUUGAUGAUUUGAACUGCCUGUACAGUGAAUUGUUUAGGGAUGUUGUCAGUGGUGAUGAUUUGGCUAUGUUCCGAGAUUAUGAUGUUGAAGAGGGUAGGGUGGACACCUUGUUGUAUGAAACCAUGGGCACAAACAAAAGAUAUGGCAGAUUGUGGAAAGAGAUCAGAAAAAUGUUGCUUCUUUCCCAUGGGCAAGCCUCAAUGGAGAGGGGCUUCUCCGUUAACAGGCAAAUUGAAAUGGAAAACAUGUCUGGGGGCAUGAAUGUUGCAUUGCGGACAAUUUCUGACUAUUUGUCAUAUGUUGGUGGUAUUUUUAAUGUUAACAUGACCAAACAGCUCCUCUGUUCAGUGUUGGGUGCACGACACAGGUACCAUCAAUAUUUAGAGGAAGAAAAACGUAAGAAGUGUCAGGAAGUGAUGAAUCUGAAACGAAAAGCUGCAACAGAUGAAAUUGACCUGCUCAGAAAAAAAAGCAAGACUCUUGACUCUGACAUCUGUGCACUGGAGAAAUCUGCUGUUAGUUUUGCAGAUCAAGCAGAGAAAACUCAGGGUGCAAAGUCCAAUGCCAUGAGGCGUUCUGCAGAUGAAAAAAAGGCAGACUUGAAAUUACUUCUUUCAGAUAUUGACUACAAGACCAAACAACUUGGUUAAUCCCAUCAUGAUUGUUCUUUCUUCAACCACUUCCUGACCAUUUGUCAGAAAAACACAUUACCUGCCUGCCGAUAGUUCCAGUGCUACCUGUCCAAAUUGAGAGUCACUCAAUUUCC
rnacentral:misc_RNA from 1 species